GGUGCGUAGGCGGUUCUAUAAGUCAGUGGUGAAAUACGGCAGCUUAACUGUCGAGGUGCCAUUGAUACUGUAGAACUUGAGUAUAGACGAGGUAGGCGGAAUUGACGGUGUAGCGGUGAAAUGCUUAGAUAUCGUCAAGAACACCGAUAGCGAAGGCAGCUUACUAGACUAAAACUGACGCUGAGGCACGAAAGUGUGGGGAUCAAACAGGAUUAGAUACCCUGGUAGUCCACACUGUAAACGAUGAUUACUCGAUGUUGGCGAUACACAGCCAGCGUCUUAGCAAAAGCGAUAAGUAAUCCACCUGGGGAGUACGCCGGCAACGGUGAAACUCAAAGGAAUUGA
rnacentral:rRNA from 1 species